rnacentral:rRNA from 1 species
GCGGCUGCUUACACAUGCAGUCGAACGAUGAACCGCUUUCGGGCGGGGAUUAGUGGCGAACGGGUGAGUAACACGUGGGCAAUCUGCCCUGCACUCUGGGACAAGCCCUGGAAACGGGGUCUAAUACCGGAUAUGACCGUCUGCCGCAUGGUGGAUGGUGUAAAGCUCCGGCGGUGCAGGAUGAGCCCGCGGCCUAUCAGCUUGUUGGUGAGGUAGUGGCUCACCAAGGCGACGACGGGUAGCCGGCCUGAGAGGGCGACCGGCCACACUGGGACUGAGACACGGCCCAGACUCCUACGGGAGGCAGCAGUGGGGAAUAUUGCACAAUGGGCGAAAGCCUGAUGCAGCGACGCCGCGUGAGGGAUGACGGCCUUCGGGUUGUAAACCUCUUUCAGCAGGGAAGAAGCGAAAGUGACGGUACCUGCAGAAGAAGCGCCGGCUAACUACGUGCCAGCAGCCGCGGUAAUACGUAGGGCGCAAGCGUUGUCCGGAAUUAUUGGGCGUAAAGAGCUCGUAGGCGGCUUGUCACGUCGGUUGUGAAAGCCCGGGGCUUAACCCCGGGUCUGCAGUCGAUACGGGCAGGCUAGAGUUCGGUAGGGGAGAUCGGAAUUCCUGGUGUAGCGGUGAAAUGCGCAGAUAUCAGGAGGAACACCGGUGGCGAAGGCGGAUCUCUGGGCCGAUACUGACGCUGAGGAGCGAAAGCGUGGGGAGCGAACAGGAUUAGAUACCCUGGUAGUCCACGCCGUAAACGGUGGGCACUAGGUGUGGGCAACAUUCCACGUUGUCCGUGCCGCAGCUA